CAGGAUUAGAUACCCUGGUAGUCCACACCGUAAACGAUGGAUACUAGGUGUAGGAGGUAUCGACCCCUUCUGUGCCGCAGUUAACACAAUAAGUAUCCCACCUGGGGAGUACGACCGCAAGGUUGAAACUCAAAGGAAUUGACGGGGGCCCGCACAAGCAGUGGAGUAUGUGGUUUAAUUCGAAGCAACGCGAAGAACCUUACCUGGGCUUGACAUCCCUGGAAUCGAGUAGAGAUACUUGAGUGCCUUCGGGAAUCAGGUGACAGGUGGUGCAUGGUUGUCGUCAGCUCGUGUCGUGAGAUGUUGGGUUAAGUCCCGCAACGAGCGCAACCCCUAUUGUCAGUUGCCAUCAUUAAGUUGGGCACUCUGGCGAGACUGCCGGUGACAAAUCGGAGGAAGGUGGGGACGACGUCAAAUCAUCAUGCCCCUUAUGCCCAGGGCUACACACGUACUACAAUGGCCGAUAACAAAGUGCAGCGAAACCGUGAGGUGGAGCGAAUCACAAAACUCGGUCUCAGUUCAGAUUGCAGGCUGCAACUCGCCUGCAUGAAGUUGGAAUUGCUAGUAAUCGCGGAUCAGAAUGCCGCGGUGAAUACGUUCCCGGGCCUUGUACACACCGCCCGUCACACCAUGAGAGUCGAUAACACCCGAAGCCUGUGAGCUAACCGUAAGGAGGCAGCAGUCGAAGGUGGGGUUGAUGAUUGGGGUGAAGUCGUAACAAGGUAGCCGUAUCGGAAGGUGCGGCUG
rnacentral:rRNA from 1 species